UGAGUCGGCUGGGUGAUCGCGGCUCCGCGAACCAUUCCACAGGAAAAAGGCGCGGGUCGAGGAAAGUCCGGACUCCACAGGGCACGGUGGUUGCUAACGGCAACCCGGAGCAAUCCGCGGGAAAGUGCAACAGAAAGUAGACCGCCGGCGCUGCGCACGGCAUCGCCGGGUGCAACGCAGGUAAGGGUGAAAGGGUGCGGUAAGAGCGCACCGGCGUGUGCGGUGACGCAUGCGGCCAGGUAAACCCCACUGGGAGCAAGGCAAGAACCCCUGCCUUUUGGCAGAGGUCGUCGGACGUGAUGAGGCUGCCCGCCCAUGUUCGAAGGUAGCUGCUCGAGACGCUCAGUAAUGGGCGUCCUAGAUGGAUGAUCGCCGCCCUGGGCUGCGCUCAGGGAACAGAAUCCGGCUCACAGGCCGGCUCACUCG
rfam:Corynebacterium genitalium ATCC 33030 chromosome, whole genome shotgun sequence.